rnacentral:rRNA from 1 species
GUGCGGGGUGGAUUAGUGGCGAACGGGUGAGUAACACGUGGGCAAUCUGCCCUGCACUCUGGGACAAGCCCUGGAAACGGGGUCUAAUACCGGAUAUGACCAUCUUGGGCAUCCUUGAUGGUGUAAAGCUCCGGCGGUGCAGGAUGAGCCCGCGGCCUAUCAGCUUGUUGGUGAGGUAAUGGCUCACCAAGGCGACGACGGGUAGCCGGCCUGAGAGGGCGACCGGCCACACUGGGACUGAGACACGGCCCAGACUCCUACGGGAGGCAGCAGUGGGGAAUAUUGCACAAUGGGCGAAAGCCUGAUGCAGCGACGCCGCGUGAGGGAUGACGGCCUUCGGGUUGUAAACCUCUUUCAGCAGGGAAGAAGCGAAAGUGACGGUACCUGCAGAAGAAGCGCCGGCUAACUACGUGCCAGCAGCCGCGGUAAUACGUAGGGCGCAAGCGUUGUCCGGAAUUAUUGGGCGUAAAGAGCUCGUAGGCGGCUUGUCACGUCGAUUGUGAAAGCUCGGGGCUUAACCCCGAGUCUGC